UUGGCAAAGACUGGUUAAUUGAUCCAUGCAAGAAGUUAUUUUCCCAGGCUGAUGCAUCUGCAAACAAAGAAGUGAAGGAAGAUAAAGCAGUCCAGAUGUCUGAGUCCCUCUGCCUGUACAACUUAGAAAUGUUACUGAGUAUUGUGCUUUUCAGUGCUCAGGGUGCUUUAAUGGUUGUUAACAGACUCAGCUUUCACAACAGCUGUUGCAGGUAGACUAGGUCAUAUUUAGAUCUCUCCAUCUCUCAGUAUGAAGCUAAGAUAUUGCCAGCACAAGCUUUCUUCAAAAUAGCCUGCAGCCGACCACAGGUCUGAAACCAGUGAAAAGCAGCUCCUACACAGGAACCUAAGGAAUCCCAAAUGUUAGAGUUAGAUUAGCUGGUACUGCAUUUACAGAUGCAAGACCUGUGCUCAGUUUCCACCCCUGUGUACCUGUUUAUAAAGGUUCUGAAAUAUUUAAUAGUGAAGACGAAUGUGACAUUGUUGGAGGGGUCUGCCAUUUGAACACCUACAACCCUGGGAAGUGCUGGAGUCUUCGUUAUAUACCGCUCGGAUACUGCAUCCCAAAAGGUGUUUGCUGUAAAAGGCCAGACAGCUCCUUGCCAGAAAACCUUCACCUUAUAUAUUAAGGCCAGCCAGACUGCCUCAAGGACUUUUCACCAUCUGAAGGAACUCAAUGGAGUAUUUGCAAAGUAAUAAAUGCAAUGUAGUUGUGCUAAUGCAAAA